rnacentral:lncRNA from 1 species
UACGCUAUGGUUCACCAAUUGCUAAACUACAACUAUCAUCGUGCUCUACGUGAAACGAUCUUUCAAAUGCAUAUGAUCAACAAGAAAAUCAUGAUGAUCGAAUUUGGAUGAUACCUGCUAUGGCAGUGUGGAAAUCGGAACUUUCAAGCUGUCUUGAUGUGAAACAGACGCAGCACGAACAUGAGGAAAGGCGAGGCAAAGCUUGGAUUCACUUGAUCUUGCUCCUAUUGCUCCAAAUCAACUUUCACCAUUGAUGACUCUUGAAGAUGCAGUCGCGAUUCAAUGCCUCUUCCACUCCAAAUACCACAAACAGUUUGAGAAGAUGAUGAUAGAAGUUGAAUGCGAAAGGAAUUUCAAAGUUUGGUUGAGAUUUGAUGAAGAAUUUUGGAAUUGAAGAUUUUGUGUUCUUGGUGAAAUUGAGAGAAUUGGAAUAGUUUUUGAUCUGAAUUUUUGGUGAAUGAUUUU